UACGUAGGUGGCUAGCGUUGUCCGGAUUUACUGGGCGUAAAGAGCGCGCAGGCGGUCGUUCAAGUCGAGUGUGAAAGCCCCCGGCUCAAUUGGGGGAGGGUCACUCGAUACUGAUCGACUCGAAGGCAGGAGAAGGAAGCGGAAUUCCCGGUGUAGUGGUGAAAUGCGUAGAUAUCGGGAGGAACACCAGUGGCGAAGGCGGUUCUCUGGGACGGUACUGGACGCUGAGACGCGAAAGCGUGGGGAGCGAACAGG
rnacentral:rRNA from 1 species